UGGAAGUAGAAGUAGGCGAUCCCCCUAUGAUCGUUCUUACAGAAGAAGACGAUAUGAUCAUCCCUUCAUUUUGGGAUUACAAGCCACAAUUACUUCACACAGUGACGAAAUUACAAUUAUUAACGUCAGUAGUCGUGAUUUAGUGGAAAGGGCAUUAAGGCAGCAGCAUGUACCAGACUAUAUCAAUGCCGGAUCGUCACCAAAUUUUUCAGAUGAUUUUGAUGGUGAACUUCUGUUUGAUGAUCGAGAGAGUGAAUUGUUUGAUGAUCAAGAGGCUUCUACGAAGGAGAAAGAGGACGAUGCUAUAUUAUUGGGGUGUUUUAAAACAAGAAUUUUUCGUGCUGCUGAUGGUGUAAACAAUCCCACAGAAACUUGUGCCAUAUGUCAAGCGGAAUUUGAGCAUGAAGAGUCCAUUGGGACACUUGGGUGCGGACAUGAAUAUCAUACAGGUUGCAUCAAACAAUGGUUGAUGAGGAAGAAAGAUUGUCCCAUGUGUCGAACUUCUGUUUUGCCCUUA
rnacentral:misc_RNA from 1 species